AAUACUAUGUGUGUACGUAUGUAGAAAUAUGCAUGCCAAAGGCAUAUGUAGCAAUGUGUGCCUUAGUAGGGAUGUAUUUAGGACCAUUGGAUAGUUUCUCAUCUACAGUACUAAUAACACGGUAGACAAAUAGUAAGUAUUAAGUACAUUAGAUUCUGAAAGGUUUGAUACACAGUUCAUGAUUUUCCAUAUUUUUCUUUAUUUUUGAUUUUUGUGAAAAUAGAGGUCAUUUUGACACACUGCUGGGGUGAUUAAGACUGACAAACAGAUGUCAUCAGGACCCAAAAGUUAGCUAGAUGUACAGGGAGUGAGAAAGCUAGAACAGGAGGCUCAAAUAUGGAGGUGGGGGAGAGAAGAGGGCAAUAAGAGAGGGAACACAGGGGGCAGAGCUAAAACUCUGGGCUAUUUGAGGGCUUGUAUGGAAACCUAAUAUAGUAGAAGCUUCUUAAAGUAUAUACAAUUGUGAAUGAGAUUUAAAUGGAAUAACUAUAGAACAGGGUAGGCAAAGCCAGAAGUAGACAGCUCUCAUUAGUAAAUGAUAUCUCCAGUUCCAGAAAUGGGAUACAUCUAAUCAAGUUGUUGGACAAAUGGGGUUCCAUGGAAAUCCCUAAGCAACCCAGGCAAUUGUCAAGGCUAUUUUUGUUCUCCAGAAUCUGAUGAUCACUGUCUUUACCAGCCCAGCCGUCAUCAGAGAAGCUACCUUCUGCAGUAUAUGGGAGCAAAUACAGAGACUUACAGCCUGACAGCAUUCAGAGAGUGAGAGACCUUGGAAUACUGGACCCUAAAUGGAAUGUUUCCAUUAAACAUUUCUCCUUAGAGCACAGAAUGAAGGGAAACUUCCCCAUGGAUUGAAUGGAGGUCUAUUAAACUCUUUUCAUUAUUUGUUGAAGUGAUGAUCUCACCAGCAUGUCAGCUAGACUUGAUUUCUGCAUCAAAAAAGUCUGAUACACUACGGACUAUGGAAUUCAGAGGACAAGAGUUUUGAGUCUCACACUGCAGUUCUUUUACUUUGAGAAAAUUCUAGUUAAAUAAAGGAAAAGAAAAUUAUUUAAUGGCCUUGAAUUUUUAUAAUUUUGCUUCAAAGUAGAUCAUUAGUAAAAAGAAUUAUGGAAAAUUAGAAUAAUUCAAUAUAAUCAUGGAUUGUCUCAAUCUGUUCACAUUUUCCUAUAAGUGUUAAAAAUAUUUUGUAAGUAUACUCAUUUUUGUGCUAAUGUUUAAUGCCAUGUUGUAGGUAAUAUAGUUUCUUUGCCACCAUUUAAUCUGAAAUUGAAAAUAAUCAUUUUCAUCACAGAGAACCUCUAAAAUGAAUGAACCACUGAGUUGUUUCUUGGAUUUUCUCUACUGAAAUAAUAACCUAUGGAUACAUAAAUAUUCUUAUUUGUACUGUAGUAUUAGUGCAUGUAUUCUUAUUGUUUUAUAACAUUAGUAAGUAUGUGCCACUGUGCCUGGCUGCAAUUGGAAACUGAUCCCUCUCUUCUAUUUUUUUCAAGAAUGAUUUAGCUAUUUCUACAAGCAAGUUGUCACCUUUUCAUAUUGAACAAAAUAAAAUGAAUAAGAUUGUGCUGCUGCGUUUUAAGAAGCUUUUGUGAAAAUGGACAGAUAUGAAUGAAGAUGGAUGAUUGGAAGUUACAUAGUAAUAGCUCAAGAUGAAAAAUUAAAGGAGCAGGGACAUUUGCAGUCAGAUGACUCAGUGGAUAAGGGUGCUUACCACCCACCCUGACAUCCUGGUUUCCACCAUUUGAACACUGACCACAGAAGGGGAAGAAUCUGUGAGCAUAUUGUACAAAAAAUAUAUGUACUAUCUUACUUUGUCUUUUAUUUAUGAGAUAUAAUAUAUAUAUAUAUAAUAUAAUUACAACACUUCUCACUUCUCUUUCCUCCAUCCAAGCACUGCUAUGUACCCAUCAUUGUUUUCUUUAAGAUUCAUC